GAGUUGCCAUGGAGAUUGGAGCAGGAAACGUCCCCAUGGAGACCCCUGGGAGACUCUCUAGGAAAUCAUUACCAGGUGGAUGGAGCUUGAGAAGGGGGAGCUGGGCACAUGAGGGAGCCCCACGCUUCUGUGUACUGGCAGGAGGAGGGGGUGAAAGGGCAGGGUGGGAAAGACCAGCCUGGGAAGGCGGGCAAGUUAAUGAUCUCCACCAAGUCUAGGGUCCCGUGUGAUAAAGAACUACCGUAUGCACAGAAUCCAUCUGACGGGAAAGUCGGGAAACUAGAAACUUUGGUGGCCCCAAAGAAGGGGGUGAGGGAGAGAGACUUAUUCGUCAUGUGUGCUCCUUUGUGUACUGUCGGACUUUGUUUUGUCAGGUAAUCUCUACACCCAACAUGGGGCUUGAACUUGUAACCCUGAGAUCAAGAGUCACAUACUCCCAUCGACUGAGCCCGCCAGGUGCACAACAUAAUGAUUCAAUAUUUGUGUACAUGGAAAAUGAUCACCACAGUAAGUCUAGCUAACAUCUGUCACCAUGCAUAAUCAUAAAACUUUUUUUCUACUUGUGAUGAAAACUUUUAAAAUCUACUCUCUUAGCAAUUGUCAGACAUACAGUACAAUAUUGUUAGCUACAGUCAGCAUGCUGGGCACACACUACCUUUCCUAGGACAAUUAUCCCCCAA